AGCAGCGUGGCUUAGUGGAAAGAGCACGGGCUUAAGAAUCAGAGGUCAUGGGUUCUAAUCCCAACUCUGCCA
rfam:Ornithorhynchus anatinus chromosome 5, whole genome shotgun sequence.